GCUCGCUAUCCUUCCGAAAUCCCAGAAGAGUUCAUGGUUGAUGAGAGUGUGGAAGACAUUGUGGGGCAGGAGGAGCUGUCGGAAGACAUUCAAAAGCAUCAAAAGCUGUUGGAACUGGUGAAGGACAAUGUGGUCAAAGCUCAG